GGUGGAGUAUGUGGUUAAUUCGAUGCAACGCGAAGAACCUUACCUGGUCUUGACAUCCCGGAGACCCUUAGGAAACUAGGGGUGCUUCCAUCUGGAAGAAUCUGGAGACAGGUGCUGCAUGGCUGUCGUCAGCUCGUGUCGUGAGAUGUUGGGUUAAGUCCCGCAACGAGCGCAACCCUUGCCUUUAGUUGCCAGCAGUUCGGCUGGGCACUCUAAAGGGACUGCCGGUGUUAAACCGGAGGAAGUGGGGAUGACGUCAAGUCCUCAUGGCCUUUAUGACCAGGGCUACACACGUACUACAAUGGCCGAUACAAAGGGCAGCGACACUGCGAGGUGAAGCCAAUCCCGUAAAAUCGGUCUCAGUCCGGAUUGGAGUCUGCAACUCGACUCCAUGAAGUUGGAAUCGCUAGUAAUCGUGGAUCAGCAUGCCACGGUGAAUACGUUCCCGGGCCUU
rnacentral:rRNA from 1 species